GGGAAUAUUGCACAAUGGGCGAAAGCCUGAUGCAGCAACGCCGCGUGAGGGAUGAAGGCCUUCGGGUCGUAAACCUCUGUCCUUGGGGAAGAAACAAAUGACGGUACCCAUGGAGGAAGCCCCGGCUAACUACGUGCCAGCAGCCGCGGUAAUACGUAGGGGGCGAGCGUUAUCCGGAAUUAUUGGGCGUAAAGAGUGCGUAGGUGGUUACCUAAGCGCAGGGUCUAAGGCAAUGGCUCAACCAUUGUUCGCCCUGCGAACUGGGCUACUUGAGUGCAGGAGAGGAAAGCGGAAUUCCUAGUGUAGCGGUGAAAUGCGUAGAUAUUAGGAGGAACACCAGUGGCGAAGGCGGCUUUCUGGACUGUUACUGACACUGAGGCACGAAAGCGUGGGGAGCAAACAGG
rnacentral:rRNA from 1 species